ACGGGUGAGUAACGCGUGGGAACGUACCUUUUGGUUCGGAACAACACAGGGAAACUUGUGCUAAUACCGGAUAAGCCCUUACGGGGAAAGAUUUAUCGCCGAAAGAUCGGCCCGCGUCUGAUUAGCUAGUUGGUGGGGUAAAGGCCCACCAAGGCGACGAUCAGUAGCUGGUCUGAGAGGAUGAUCAGCCACAUUGGGACUGAGACACGGCCCUAACUCCUACGGGAGGCAGCAGUGGGGAAUAUUGGACAAUGGGCGCAAGCCUGAUCCAGCCAUGCCGCGUGAGUGAUGAAGGCCCUAGGGUUGUAAAGCUCUUUUGUGCGGGAAGAUAAUGACGGUACCGCAAGAAUAAGCCCCGGCUAACUUCGUGCCAGCAGCCGCGGUAAUACGAAGGGGGCUAGCGUUGCUCGGAAUCACUGGGCGUAAAGGGUGCGUAGGCGGGUCUUUAAGUCAGGGGUGAAAUCCUGGAGCUCAACUCCAGAACUGCCUUUGAUACUGAAGAUCUUGAGUUCGGGAGAGGUGAGUGGAACUGCGAGU
rnacentral:rRNA from 1 species